rnacentral:lncRNA from 1 species
GGUUUUCAGUAGUCUUUCCUACUGAGAGAGAGAGAGAGAGAGAGAGAGAGAGAGAGAGAGAGAGAGAGUAGAGAGAAGNNNNNNNNNNNNNNNNNNNNGAGAGAGAGAGAGAAGAGAAAUUGGUGUUGUAGGAAAUUAGCAGAAGAAUUCAGGUUUGCAUUUUUUAUGUUCUUGAUCAAUUGGUUAUCCUUUGUGAACCAUGUUGUGACUUUUGUAUGUAUGCUUCUUGUUAUAGAGGAUCAUCUUGGUAUGAAGUAAAGCAUUAGGAUUGGGUUUUUCUUUGUUGUUACCUAUUGGGAAUCAUCUUUGAAAAUGGAAACUUGAUUUGAGUCAAAAACUGUAAUUUUCUGAUUCUGGUCUUCAAAGUCCGAAAAUCAUAAGUAUUUGUAGAUAAUUUCUUAUGCUGCGAUUUCAGUUCCUGAUUGAUCUUUAGGUUGUCCUUUACAAAUGUUAUGAAGACACCAACUGUAAAUUCCCAGUCAAGCUAUGUCGUUUUUAGCCAUAAAGUUUACUGGUCAGAAAGUUAGGAAGUUGUUUUGUGAUUACAGAUUUCUGUUUUUAAUUGCACUCUUUGUUUUUGAAUCUUUGUUUCUUUUGAUAUGCGAUUGUGUAGAUAUUGAGAUUGAUUCAUGAAGUUCCAAUACAUGUCAUUAUUUUUAUUAUUGAAGGUAGAGACCAAAGGUAGGGAAUGCUUAAAAGCUAGUCAUAAGACUAGAAGGUUAUAACUUUUACAUGUUGUCUAUAAGCUGAUUUUUGUGGUAAUCAUAUUUAGCCAUUUAUGUUGCAAGUUUUGUGUGUUUCUUUUUGAAACAUUGAAGUGUUUAUGUUCAGUUGCUAGAAGCUUUGUACCACAUAGUGUCUGAUUUGCUUUCAAAUACAAAGUUUAGGCACUUUUAGCAAAAUUUCCAGAAAAAACCUGAAACUGUUACUGAACUUUGAAAUUGCAUAUCUAAUUACAGAAAAAUCGUUCUGAGGUGAUUCAAAUUCUGAAAGCUUCUCUAGGAUGUCUAGUUUAUUUCUUUAGAAGGCCAUGAAGUCAAAUUCCUUAUGGAUUUGUACAGUUUUUGUGGUGAAGGUGACUGGGUCAGAAAACUGCAGUCGUUCUUUGUGUUCAGUAAACUUGUUUUCGGAUCAACUGACUUGUCAUGUUGUUUGGGUGUUUUAUCCAGUUAAAUACUUUAUACUUAGAGUACUAGAACUAAUGAGUUGCAUUACUAAAAAAGUACUUGUUGUCUUGGUCAGGAACUUGCUGUGAGAAUCGACAAGAUAGGGGGGAUCUUGGGGUAGAACUUUUUAUGAUUGGAUACUGAUUUUGUGUGCUUAGUUGUUAUGUCAUUUUAGUUAACAUUGUUUGUCUUGAUUUCAUUGAUGAUAUUUGGAUUCCAUAUACUAGCCUUCCUACACGCGCUCGCGCGCGUGCGGAAGUGUGUUUUCUGUAGCUUUAUUUUAAAAGCAAUUGUGUCAGGGUAAGCUACCUAGUUUCCCUAUAUAGUAAAGUGGGUGCAACACUUUACUGUUUACAAGCACCCUGGCAAUUACCAAUUUAUCCUCAUUUUUAUUUUAUUUACGGACUGUCAUUCAGUUUGAGAGAGAUAGUGACAAUUGUGUAAAUUACUAAAAAACAGAGGAUAAAUUGGUAUUUAAAGAACGGAUGGCAGAUGCGUAAAUUCGUAAAAAGGCGGGGUAGAAUAGUAAUUUUCACAGUUUAUGUAUAAUUACAAUACUACCCUCAGUCUGUUUAAAGUUAUCUUUCUGUCCUCACAUUUUCUGUUAAUUACACAUGCAUGUCACGAAUCUUACCUUGAUACAUAGCACUUAAAAUUAGACUGAAUGGCAAG